rnacentral:rRNA from 1 species
GCUUGCACUCGGUUGAGAAGAGUCUCAUCCGGUAGAGCGAAUGAUUAGAGGCAUUGGGGUCGAAACGACCUCAACCUAUUCUCAAACUCCAAAUAGAUGAGAUCCCCGGCUUUCUUAAAAGUGAAGCCGUGGGGAUAUGAUCAGAGUGCCAAGUGGGCCAAUUUUGGUAAGCAGAACUGGCGCUGUGG